GACGAACGCUGGCGGCGUGCCUAAUACAUGCAAGUAGGACGCAGUUGCGAACGGGUGAGUAACGCGUAGGUAACUACCUAUUAGAGGGGGAUAACUAUUGGAAACGAUAGCUAAUACCGCAUACUAGUCGAUGGCCCUGCGUUGUAUUACCUAGUAGGUAGGGUAAUGGCCUACCUAGGCAACGAUACAUAGCCGACCUGAGAGGGUGAUCGAACCACCUGGGGCUGAGACAAGGCCCAGACUCCUACGGGAGGGAGCAGGAGAGAAUCUUCGGCAAUGGGGGGGACCCUGACCGAGCAACGCCGCGUGAGUGAAGAAGGUCUUCGGAGCGUAAAGCUCUGUUGUGAAGGAAGCGGUACUUAACCAGAAAGGGACGGCUAACUACGUGCCAGCAGCCGCGGUAAUAC
rnacentral:rRNA from 1 species